rnacentral:rRNA from 1 species
GACGAACGCUGGCGGCGUGCUUAACACAUGCAAGUCGAACGGAAAGGCCCUGCUUUUGUGGGGUGCUCGAGUGGCGAACGGGUGAGUAACACGUGAGUAACCUGCCCUUGACUUUGGGAUAACUUCAGGAAACUGGGGCUAAUACCGGAUAGGAGCUCCUGCUGCAUGGUGGGGGUUGGAAAGUUUCGGCGGUUGGGGAUGGACUCGCGGCUUAUCAGCUUGUUGGUGGGUAGUGGCUUACCAAGGCUUUGACGGGUAGCCGGCCUGAGAGGGUGACCGGCCACAUUGGGACUGAGAUACGGCCCAGACUCCUACGGGAGGCAGCAGUGGGGAAUAUUGCACAAUGGGCGGGAGCCUGAUGCAGCAACGCCGCGUGCGGGAUGACGGCCUUCGGGUUGUAAACCGCUUUCGCCUGUGACGAAGCGUGAGUGACGGUAAUGGGUAAAGAAGCACCGGCUAACUACGUG